UAUAUUAUACAAUAUAUGAUACAAAAAAUAUUAAGGCUCCAAUCAAAACACACACACACACACAUACGCACGCACGCACGCCGCACUCACACAUACAUGCUCAUCUCCGAACUCACUUCACCAAAAAGAAUUUUCUAAAAAUUCGAAACUAUUUAAUAUAUUAUACGCUACACUCAGAUGGUACUGCCCAUGAAAGGACAGUUGAUAUCAUAAGAAAUAACAUUAAACAUUACGGAGACGGAUAAAUUCCAACACAACAUAUUCAAGCUACAAAUAUAAUAAUUCCAGAUUGGAUAUGCUCGAUUACAAUCUCAGCCGUUUAUUGCCCACCGAAAUAUGCCAUUAAAAAGAAUCAAUUCUUUUCAUUCAGUUAUUUAAAUUCUUAAUUCAUCGAUUUAUUGCAGGUGGUAAUUUUAAUGUUAUACAUUUACAAUAAGAUUCUAGACCAACAAUGCCCAAAGGUAGAGAACUGUAUAAAUCUACACUGCACAUAAACCUGGAGGUUAUUUCUACUAGGACACCAAUCUGUUGGCCGACUAAUAAAAGGAAAAUCCCUUAUGUCAUUGAAUUAUGUGCCGCUAAAGGAAUAUCAAGCAAAAACUUAAGUGCUAAAUCCUGUUUAGACUGUUUAUUUGAUCAUUUUCUUAUUACACAGCCACACAAAAAAAGUGGUCUGGCCUGUAUAUCAGACCCAUGUAUAUUGCUAUGAAUUUUAGCCUGCUGAAUACAAAUCUGAUGUUGGAAUUGGUAGAUCGGUUCGCUGUUUCAAAUAAAACAUCAGCGAAAGUUUUCGUUUUGUGGAUUUUCGAGAUUUUUUUUUAGGUUUCCUCAAAAUAGUAAACCAAUCUACCAAUUCUGACAUCAGAUUUGGAUUCAGCAGGCCAAAAUUCAUAGGAAUACAUGGGUCUGGUAUACAGGCCAGACCAUUUUUUUGUGUGGCUGUGUUAUUAUCAUUAUAAGUAGCUAGGUUAUUAAAAUUAUAAACCUUAAAGUAUUAUACAACAGGAGAACCAACUAGCAUAGAUUUUGGACAUUUUUUUAGAACAAAUCUCAAUACUAAAAUAUUUCUGAUAUUUCAAGCUGAUAUCACAAAACCAUUUAAUUAUUGCAUUCAACAAGCAGCUUGGAACUCAAUUCCCAUCAAUGUAAAUGAUAAGGAAGCUUCUUGUUCUACAUUAGUAGAGAAAAGAUUGCACCAAACGUACAAACUCAGAAAACAGUGAAAUUCGAGCUAUGAUAAAAAACAAAAAAGAGUAAGCCAUAGGAGAAUACCUCAAAAGCUUAAGGGGAUGCUGGAGUCGUCUGUUUUACCAAUUGAACGUUAUUAUUUUUAAUUAGGCCUAUUUUUUUACUGAUUUCAUAGAAUUAAAAAUCCUUCUCUAGAAUUAAAGUAUAGACAAUAACAAAUAGUGCCUCCCUAUAAUUUCAUGUAAAAAACAAAAAAAGUUAGUAAAUUAUACUUUUGUGCAGUCGUCUCGUAUCUUUCAUUUGCAACACAUAAGUUUUAAAAACUUUGUAAGUACAAAUAACUAGUACGCACUAAUCUUAUUAUAUGAAAGAAUAAUAAAAUGCUUGCAGAAAUGAGCUAGAAGCUUUAGUAUAAGAAAAAAGCCUCAGAGAAAAUUUUGUAUAUAUGUGUGAGUGAGGAAUCGGUACGAGGCGGUCCGAGAAUAGAAACAAAGCACUAGUUUAAUUCACAGAUUAAUAUUAAUACGUGUAUUUUAAUUCUGGAAAAGAAUUUUUUAAUCUAUAAAAGAAAUAUAUACGAAAUCUCAUUAAUAAUGUGCACGAAUGACUCUACAUUAUCGACCUCGAUCAAGUUUGAGAGGCAGUCCAGCAUCCCCUUAAGUGUACAGAUGUUACCGAUUACUUGCUUUGGCAAUUAAUAAUUUAAAGCACCCGUAGAUUUUUAAUCCAUCAAUACAUACUCUACAUAAUUCAAUUUUAUAAAGUCUGACAUACUUUGAUAAAGUAAAAUAUAAAUAAAUAAAAAGAAUUAAUUUACUAUUAUAUACAUUGAUAAAGUCUCUUUUACAUAAAAUAAGAAGUACUUACCUAGCAACAUUUACACCACCUUUAAAUUAUAUCUUGAGGAUUUCUUGAUUAAAUCACGGGCUGCAAUAAUAAAUUUUUGUCAAAAAAAGACAGGCAACUAUCCCAAGGAAGUGUUCUUAGCCUAGUACUGUAUCUAUUUUAUAUCAGUAAUUUUUCCACAAUUUCCCAAAUACUCUUUGCUACGUAUGCAGAUGAUACUGCUAUCUUAGCUUCUAGCGAUAAUUCUAUUUGUAUUUGCUCUUUCUGUAAAAUAUAUGUAUCCAAUUGUCCUAUAAUACUAUGGCUAUCUUUUCCUUAAAAGUUGUGAAAGAUGGCCUACGUUUAUGUUUUAAUAUUUUAAUAAUAUAAAACUUUUAUUAGGUAUUUUCUCCUUAACGUCGAUAGUGUUAUAUGCUUUAAAUUUCAGUAAAAUAAUAUACCAAACAUUAAUAAAAAAUAAUAAAAAUGAAAAGCAUGUUUUUUUGCAUUUUAAAAACUAUGGUCAUAUCCUAUAAGUUUACCCUAGAAUAAACUAAUGGGCAAAAUUUUAAAUAAAACAAUUUCAAAACUUGUCAAAUAUAAAUUAAUCAAAAUUGAUCUUCCUAAAUCUUUAAACCACACACAU